rnacentral:rRNA from 1 species
AGCGUCUAUCUGUCAAAUCUGACGNUGAGCGNGAAGCGUGGGAGCAAACAGGAUUAGAUACCUGGUAGUCACGCUGUAAAACGAUGAGUGUUAAAUAUNGGGAAGUUUACUUUCUGUAUUACAGCUAACGCGUUAAACANNCCGCCUGGGGANUNNGNUCGCAAGAUUAAAACUCAAAGGAAUUGACGGGGGACCCGCACAAGCGGUGGAGCAUGUGGUUUAAUUCGAUGCAACGCGAAAAACCUUACCACUCCUUGACAUGGAAAUUAUACCUAUUCGAAGGGUUAGGGUCGGUUCGGCCGGGUUUCACACAGGUGUUGCAUGGCUGUCGUCAGCUCGUGUCGUGAGAUGUUGGGUUAAGUCCCGCAACGAGCGCAACCCUCGUCCUUAGUUACCAUCAGGUAAUGCUGGGGACUUUAAGGAGACUGCCAGUGAUAAACUGGAGGAAGGUGGGGAUGAUGUCAAGUCAUCAUGGCCCUUAUGGAGUGGGCUACACACGUGCUACGAUGGUGGCUACAAUGGGCUGCAAAGUCGCGAGGCUAAGCCAACCCCUUAAAAGCCAUCUCAGUUCGGAUUGUACUCUGCAACUCGAGUGCAUGAAGUUGGAAUCGCUAGCAAUCGUGGAUCAGCACGCCACGGUGAAUACGUUCUCGGGUCUUGUACACACUGCCCGUCACGCCAUGGGAAUUGGUUUCACUCGAAGCUAACGACCUAACCGCAAGGAGGGAGUUAUUUAAAGUGGGAUCGGUGACUGGGGUG